rnacentral:rRNA from 1 species
AUUGAACGCUGGCGGCAGGCCUAACACAUGCAAGUCGAGCGGAUGAGAGGAGCUUGCUUCUCGAUUCAGCGGCGGACGGGUGAGUAAUGCCUAGGAAUCUGCCUGGUAGUGGGGGACAACGUUUCGAAAGGAACGCUAAUACCGCAUACGUCCUACGGGAGAAAGCAGGGGACCUUCGGGCCUUGCGCUAUCAGAUGAGCCUAGGUCGGAUUAGCUAGUUGGUGAGGUAAUGGCUCACCAAGGCGACGAUCCGUAACUGGUCUGAGAGGAUGAUCAGUCACACGGGAACUGGGACACGGUCCAGACUCCUACGGGAGGCAGCAGUGGGGAAUAUUGGACAAUGGGCGAAAGCCUGAUCCAGCCAUGCCGCGUGUGUGAAGAAGGUCUUCGGAUUGUAAAGCACUUUAAGUUGGGAGGAAGGGCAGUAAGUUAAUACCUUGCUGUUUUGACGUUACCGACAGAAUAAGCACCGGCUAACUCUGUGCCAGCCGCCGCAGUAACAC